rnacentral:siRNA from 1 species
GGUUAGGAUAUCUGGCUUUCACCC